rnacentral:lncRNA from 1 species
AUUUAAAGAUGAAAAUAGAUUUUCAGUCGGAUUUAAUGGUGUAAACAGAUUUUCAGUCGAAGAGAUAAAAUAUCUUAAAAACUGAAAACCCCAAAAGAUUUUCGUCGGCAUAUUUUUUGUCCCUCUUUACAUUCAUGCAUGAAAUAAAAAAAGUGAUAAAAGACUGACGUGGCGUCUUUCAGCCCACACGUUCAGCACUUAUCACGUCCAAAAAAAAAGAUAAAAAAGGAGAGCUCCCCGGCUUCAUUCAGAAAGAAGCCUGAAAAACAUAACCACAAGCACCUACAAAGAUUCAAAGUCCUCCUAGGACAAAAGGGAAGGGAACCGACUACCUAAAGGCAGAGAAUCCAUCUAAGUUGCUCCGGCCCAGAGCACCAUUAUUACAAAAAUCUCAUACAUGGAUAAGGAAACACGUCAACAAAGCAGUAAUUAGGCGGCACCAGGUGAGUUCACACACAUCACGUCCAGGGUAGACACUGGGCUUUCCAUCGAUCCAGCGACCUGCUGAGAUUAUCACUAAAGAAACGCCAGCGCCAGCUGCUAUUCAGCCGGUCACCAUACUGAGUGAGAGAUACAUGAGGGGGGACGCCUCCUUGACAAACCGUUUCAGUUUGUGAGCGAGUUGGAAUCAUAUCACGCAUAUCCCAUUCACUAAUAUGUAUACACAGCUCUAGUUUUUCAUAUCGAGCAGAAGGGUACAAAGGAAAAAGAGCUCCAGGUCGGGGAAAUUGUGGUGGUGGUGGUGUGGUGUGGAGUGGGGGUGGGGGGUAAGAACAAACAGGAUCAGAUUUCUGUCAUGCGUAAGCACCAUCAGCCAUGCAUCGUGGCGGUCUUCUUGAAGUCGAUCUUGUCAACCUUCACCUCGCCGUCAAUGAGCUCGUACACGUAGACAACAACACGGAGGCCAUCGAUGUCCAUGAGCACAAAGCUCGGGUUGACGUCAUAUGUGAUGCUGCUGUGGGCGCCCGUGCCUGAGCCAGGGUUGAUGACGACACCCCCCUCGUGCUUGUAGGCCUUGAACUGAUGGGUGUGCCCGGUGACGAGGAUGUCCACAUCCAGCUGCCUCUGGAGCAUCGCUAGGGAGUCCAGGUCGCCCCAUGGAACAACCUGA